rnacentral:rRNA from 1 species
UAUGGUCCUUGUGAGAAAGCCGCCGCGGUAAUACGUAUGGGGCAAGCGUUAUCCGGAUUUACUGGGUGUAAAGGGAGCGUAGGCGGCAUGGCAAGUCAGAAGUGAAAGCCUGGGGCUCAACCCCGGAAUUGCUUUUGAAACUGUCAGGCUAGAGUGUCGGAGGGGUAAGCGGAAUUCCUAGUGUAGCGGUGAAAUGCGUAGAUAUUAGGAGGAACACCGGUGGCGAAGGCGGCUUACUGGACGAUUACUGACGCUGAGGCUCGAAAGCGUGGGGAGCAAACAGG